CAAUGCAAGAAGAAGCGCCCGCUUCUCACCUGGCUGACUAAAUGAGUCUGCAGGUUACUUUAGUUGAUUACAAAUCAAUAGGUGUGGGCGUAAUAUGCGUCUACACCUUUUUUAUUUG
rfam:Anaerobacillus sp. NB2006 Ga0137927_1005, whole genome shotgun sequence.